GAUCCUGAGUACGACGGAGCACGUGAAAUUCCGUCGGAAUCUGGGAGGACCAUCUCCUAAGGCUAAAUACUCUCUAGUGACCGAUAGUGAACCAGUACCGUGAGGGAAAGGUGAAAAGCACCCCGGAAGGGGAGUGAAAUAGAACCUGAAACCGUGUGCUUACAAGUAGUCAGAGCCCGUUAAUGGGUGAUGGCGUGCCUUUUGUAGAAUGAACCGGCGAGUUACGAUUUGAUGCAAGGUUAAGCAGUAAAUGUGGAGCCGUAGCG
rnacentral:rRNA from 1 species